rnacentral:rRNA from 1 species
GACGAACGCUGGCGGCGUGCUUAACACAUGCAAGUCGAACGGAAAGGCCCACCACUUUUUGGUGGUGGGUACUCGAGUGGCGAACGGGUGAGUAACACGUGGGUGAUCUGCCCCGCACUGUGGGAUAAGCCUGGGAAACUGGGUCUAAUACCACAUACGACCAUGGCGUAGGGGUCAUGGUGGAAAGCCUUGUGCGGUGUGGGAUGAGCCCGCGGCCUAUCAGCUUGUUGGUGGGGUAAUGGCCUACCAAGGCGGCGACGGGUAGCCGGCCUGAGAGGGUGGACGGCCACAUUGGGACUGAGACACGGCCCAGACUCCUACGGGAGGCAGCAGUGGGGAAUAUUGCACAAUGGGCGCAAGCCUGAUGCAGCGACGCCGCGUGGGGGAUGGAAGGCCUUCGGGUUGUAAACUCCUUUAGCCCGGGACGAAGCCCUCUGGUGGGAAAAGGUACCGUGAGAAGAGC